CAAACUUUACUCACACGCUUCGAGAGGCUACCCAGCCAGCAACUCCAAACCCCUAGUCUGUACAGUCUGGGUGUCCGGAAGCUGCCGGUAUUACGGAAAGAAAACGGCAGUUCUCCCCGCGCCUGGAGGUGGAGGCUGGGCAGUGGUAGGCGCUGAGUUUGACGUCACCGAUGGUGGGCGGAGCCCAGCGCGGAUAUGCGCGACUUCCGGAACAGGGGAGUGCCCGGUUGCCGGGAGGAAAGGGAGACGCGGCACGUGACCCCUGACGCAAGCCAGCCGGCGGCGUGCAGCGGGGGUGGGGAGGUGGCUCGCCCUGGGCGGCCUUAGCGCUGUAAAUUGGAAAAUGGGCUCUUGGCUAGUGCUGGAAUCUGAGCACAGUGUGAGAAGUUCUGACACUUCUCUAUACGUUUCUCAGGGGCCAUGCUGAGGAUUAUGAGUCACAGUGCCGGUAUUCGGGUCUGUCUCAGCCCUUCCAACUGUCCAGCGUCGGGGAUUCCUGAGAUUACUCCCUACGGCAGCAGCGGGCGGAGUCGCAGGCAAACCCGGAAGGCGUGUGCGCGUGCGCGGGCCGGACAGGGGCGGGGCCGCCGCGCCUCCCAGCGUCUGCGCAGCGCGCCCCGUGGGGAAGGAGUGAGGCCGGCGCCACCUCUUGGGGAUAGAGCGGAAGGCGGGUGGCGGAGCGUCUGAGAAGUUCCCCGGGUUAGGGUCCCCAGCCCUAGUGAGAUUUGGAGGCACACUUUGGAAAAAGCCGGCGAGGUGGUCCCGCUGAGGACGGGGAUUUUCGAAAUCCCUUGUCCCUUAGCUUCGCAGGACCUGCCGAGGGACUGACUGGCUCCCUGGGGAAGGGUGGUGAAGUCAGAAAGGGCGAAGUGGUUUCAGUAAUAACCGAGGCUUGUUUUAGGGAGGAUGCCGCUUCAGAACCCGGACUCGAGUUUCGGAGCAGUGUCGUUCUCUCGUGAACUCAGGGAAAGUCACUGCGUGGGUGCUGUCAGCCCUAAGGACGAGGCGCUUCGUUCUUGCUGCUUUGGGGCACUCUGGCGCCCUGCUCCUCUCCCGGGUUGUGGUGACACGAGGCCACGCUUGGGGUCCCGUCCGGCAGGGUCUCUUUGUAGUCCAGGCUGGCCUUGAACUCAUUAUGUAGCCCAGGCUGUCCUCAAACUCAUGGCAGUCUUCCUGUCUCAGCCUUUAGGAUGCUGGAAUUACAGGCAUGUGCCACCACACUGGCUAAUUCUGCUUUUUAAUGUUAUAUUUAAAUUUGCAUUUUCAUAGUAGAUGAAAGAUGAUAAGAAUACUAUUAAAAUGAGCAAAGACAUUAAUAUGUUAUCUCUGUUACACUAAUAAAAAAGCAAAUUCCAACGGUGACAAAAUUUGCCUCUUAUCAAACCAACAUCUUUAUUAUUAAUUAAUUAAAUGAUUUUUGACUGUUUAGUAUGGUGGGUAAAUUAGAUUAUUUCUUUUGACAGUUAUGUCUCCUCCUAAAAUAACAAAAUUGAUUUACAAAGGACAGAAUGAAAUUACAUUUUAUGAAAUUAUAAAGUCUGAGCUAUGAUUCAAAGUGUAGGAGGAGGUACUGGCAUUAUGAAGCUCUUAAGUACCUAGUACUACUAAACUGUACGUUCCAAAAGUGGCUUGUCACUAUAGCAACCACCAUGCUGAUUUGGAUUUGAAACCCAGGCAACAAGUGGUGGAUAGGAAUGUCAAGGUAAAUAUGUGUUUUGUGUUUCAGUUUGCCUGACAGUUGAUAGUCAAUAGUUUGUUCUGUUUUUCUUGGUAUACUUAUGAUGCUUUUUACUAUAGUUACAUUUUUGUUAAUGCAUUUAAAAUUCUUAUUAAUGUCUUUUUCUGGAGGAGAAGUUAGCAUUCAGUAUUCUCAUUCCUCUUUUUAAAACAUGCUAAGUUUAGUGCUUUUUCCAGUUAGGUAAUUGGGAUAUUAAAUAUAUCUUCUCCAUAGUUUCCUCUGCAUUAUUGCUUAAGUUGGGCAACUUGUUUUGGGCUAAAUAUAACCUUUAUUAAACUGAAUCACUUGCAAAAGUUUUAUAACAAAAAAAUGACAGAUUUUAUUUUAGCUGCAUCCUGAAAUGAUGCUUAGGGCUACCAGUAGACAUGAGAUCUGCUUAAAUUCAAACAUUUCUAAAAAAAAGUUUUUUGUUUUCUUUUUUUCCUAAGGAAGUCCUAGGUUUCAGCUGCUGUUGGCAGGUAGAGAUGACAUAGCUCCUUUCCAGUUAUCUCUCAGCGUGGCUCCAUAAAUUUACCUAGAGGCACAGGGGACUCCUGGGAGGACACAUCUGGGAAACGGAGUCCUUGCUUGCCAUCCUUGUUGAUGGAUUGGAGCGGUUCCUGGUAGGAUGGUAUUACAGGAAAAAGAAGUCAGGAUUGCAGGGAACUUGUCUUUAGGUAGGCGAGGUCUGCAUGGGUAACUGCAAGACAGUGGAUCAGGGCAUCGAUGUUUUGAUCCUGGUGCAGCAGGUUGCUGUUGUGUACACCGGAGUGUACCCUAAUGCCUGCUCACAACUUGGUUUGUAAAUAGGAAGGGCCACAGCGGUUGCCCAAAGCCGGUCAGACAGAGAAAUGGGAGAGCUGGGUCCUGUGUGAUGUGAUAGAGAGUGAGGGCGACUGUGGUUUCCCAGAGGAUGACGCUUUCCUUGAGUGGGAAAAUAAAUUUUUUCCCCACAUUUCCUAAUUCUUUAAGAGAAGCAAAAAUCUUGAUUUUUUUUAAAUAAAAAGGUAAACACUCUUUUUGUUGCCAGUUCAUUUUUUAAAAUUUUAUUUUGAAAGUAUACAACAGAACAAGACAGAAUAAAGCCAACUAAGAUCGUACAGUGAAAUUGGUACAGAAAUUCACAGCAGGUUACCAGGAAAACAGUAAUAGAUAUCACAGUAUGUUUUGUUAUCUUUAUAAUAGUUGUUCUUCCAAUCACAUAUAUCAAAAUGAGAUGAAAUAUAGAACACUAUAGAACUUAGCAAAACAAUAUUGAAUAGAGCAGUACCAUUAAUCAGAAAAGAGCAAAACAGUAAUAAAAAUAUUUGCCUUCAAAGAGAUGGUAGAAGGAAGUCCCCUUAUUUGCUAUGGUCAACCUCCAAGGAGACGCUCAGAUUUCUGGUUCCCGUUUGAUAAUGGGGGGAGAGAAGAAGGAGGGUAGGGGAAGUGGGAUAUUUGACUCUAGGCCGUGUAUCAGUAGGUUCACUAUUGCUUAGCAGGGAGGCGGGCUGGUUGUUUGGUUUCACAGCAUCCUAAGUUCCAACAUGGUGUGGAUCUCAGGAGUGCUGCUGGUUCUCCCACUGAAGGGCCGCAGUCUGCUAGACCACCACUUAUUGCCAGGGAGGAGAGGUGCUUGCUUUGCUUCCCAGGGUAGUUCAUUCAUUUUGAAAAUACUCUAUGGGCAUAACACAGCGAGAUUUAUUUAGACUUCAGGGCAGAAGAUUAAAAAUUCCUGGCCAGGCAUGGAGGUACAUGUAUAUAAUCCAAACACUCUGAAAGCUGAGGCAAGAGGGUUGCUGUGAGUUCAAGGCCAGUUUGGGGUACAUAAGCCAUUUUAAGGCUAGCCUGUACUACAUGGCGAGACCCUGUCUCAAAAACACAGCAACAAUAACAAAAACACACAAAAAAACCCAACAACCAACAAAACCCAGAACAAGCAAACAGACCCCCCUCCAAGAAAAAGAUCAUGAAUUUAAAAAGUUUUUUUGGACAGAGUCUCACUAUGUAGUGCAAGUUGCCCUUGAACUCACCAUGUAGCCCAGGCUGGCUUUGAACUCACAGUGAUCCUCCUGCCUCAGCCUUGUAAGUGCUGAGAUUACAGGUGUGCACCACCACACACAGCAUAGAUUCCUUAGUGGAAUUCUCAAGCUUUGUGCCAGGACUGCUUUUUGUUCCUCUUUACAGGCCCACUAGCUUAUCCUGCCAUUUUCAGUUCAUAUCAGGGCUAUUUUUCAUCCAUUCCUUUCAGAGUUAAGGAGAAAAAAAAAAGUUUUACUUGAAUUCCUAUUUUGUAGCAUUACUGAUUUUUUCUCUUUUUUUGCCUUUUAUUCAAGAGGAUAGAUAUCUGUAAAUGUCAUUUUGUUGCUAGUCAUACAUUAAAAACCCAAUAUUGGUAUCUUUUUUUUGGUACCAGAAAUCAAACUCGGUGUCUCGGUGUUUGCCAGGCAGGUGCUUGUGCCCUGGCUCAGUCUUGCAGUUGAUUCAUGCAAUGAGAUUCCCUGACUUCUAGUUGGAAUUCAGUAAUUGGCUAAUUUUAAUUACCUUGGCUGGAGUUAUACAACUUACAUUAUAGACAGUAUACCACAGUGGUCUCAUAAGACUAAUACUGGAGAGACACAGCCUCCAAGUAAUCAUUAGGAUUGGGUUCCUUUUGUUGCUUAAUUUAAUAUAAGCUGUGAAGUGAUUUUCUGUUUUUCCAGAUUGAAUUGGGAGGUUUAAGGACAUCAUAUGCAUGUAUCAAAUCAUAUGAGAAGCUCUUACUAGAAUCUUCUUAAGGUAACAUGGUCUCUUAUUUUUCUCAAGCAGUGUUUUGGCUUCUAUCUUGAUGUCCCCCCCAAUCAUGGGUUGGGCUCUUUGGGCUUUCUCUUGUGUGAUCCCCACGCUUCCAGUGUGCCACAUGGCACAAAGGAAGGUUUAUUUCUGGGCCUAGAAAGCCAUAGUAUAAAGUUAAUUUUAUUGGUGAUGUUUUUCCUUUCCUCCUUUCCUUCUUUUCAAAGGGAGAAUUAUAAUUAAGAAAGCUAUUAGUUGCUAUAACAAAUAAGUCUGAAAAUUUCAAUGACCUAAUAAAACUUUUUUUUUUUACUCCUUUGAUAGUCCAAUUAAGGUAUUCUCAGCAAGCGGUUUUCCCUUGGCGUGGUGGAUUUAGUGGUUCAAGUUUUUUCUGUCUGCUAGUUCUGUUUGCCUUUAAGCUGCCCUGUGAUUUUCUGUCUUCUAAUGGGAGGAGGAGAAGGGAAGGGAGAAAGACAUUUUUAAUUGCUUUGGCAAGGAAGUGAUACAUCACUGCUAUGUACACUGCACUGGCUAAAACUAGACACAUGGUCCUGUCUGAGAAGCGAAGGUUCUGACUAGGCACUUACUUUUUAGGAACAAAUCUGUGCUAUGGAAGGGUUGAAUUUUGCUUGACAGUUGCCCAUCUUUGCCACAAAGGAGGGUUCUCCUCUUGUUAUUAUUUUUGGUAACCAGUCAGUACUGGGCUCUGCAUAUUGCUGUGGGUGAAGAUGGAAGAAGGGAGAAUAUUUGAUAGGUGCAGUCUUUAGGUAUUCAAAUAUUUAAUGAGCUCUGUUCUUAGCUCUCUUUUCCUUGUUUUCUUUAGGGAUAGUUCUUCAGAUGUCUCCUAGCCUAGAAUCUCUCUAAAGCAGUGGUAGCAAACCUAUGACCCAAAUGUUGUUUUUCUUUUUAGACAAAAGAUGGUCAUGUAUGAGUUUUCUUUUUUCUAAAAUAAAACCUCGGUAUUCAGCUUUAGUUGCAGUGCUAGCAUUUAGCGAUAAAUGAGUGGGUUUUGGUUCCAGUUCAGGCUCUCCUCUCUAAAAGGUUCGCCAUCACUGUUUUAGGGUCUAGUGGGCAGGUCAGCUUUCGUCCCAGGCACAACUUCUUCCUAUGGUUAUAUUCUGCUUCUGUAGUCAGUAUGUCCCUGCCUAGUUUUUGCCUUUAAGAAAGUUUUGAGGUCUUUUGAUAGCCAGUGAUGAUCUUUUUCUCCUUACCCCUCACCCUUUUGCAGAAUUUCUCUUUUUUCAUUUUUUACUAGUAAAUGUUUGCAGUACAUAAUGACUGCAUUUUUUGUAGAGAAUUAUACAUGUAUAUAACGUAUCUUAAUUCUUUCUUUAUCCCCUUUCCUUUCCAUCGUGCUCUGCUCCCUCCAAAUCUUGGUCCCCUUCGCAUUUGCAAAUGCUCUAUUUCCAUUUUUUUUUUUUCAGUUGUCUUUUUCAUCCCUUUUACCUUCCCUUCCUCAACUCCAUCUCUUUUUCUACUUCCCAUUUAAAAAAAGAUUUCCUUGCUUCUUGUUAUCUAUCUUUUGUUUUGCUCUUUAUUUAUAUUUUGGAUUUCUUAUAAGAGAAGCUAUGUGAUAAGUGUUCUUUUUCCCUGCGGUCGUGCCAUCAUUAGUGAUUAUUUGGUUGCUUCAUGAUAGCCAUCUUUUGUAGAAUAAUAUCUCACUGUUGUUUUAAUUUUCAUUCCUUUAAUGGCCAGCAAUGUUGAACAUUUUAAAAUAUCUUUGGCCAUCUGUACUUCUUCUGCAAAGUGUUUAUUUCAUUUGCCCAUUUUCUGGUUGGGUCUUUUAUUUGAGAGGGGCAGCUUAAUUUUUUGAGUUCUUUAUAUAUUAUAGAUCUUAGUUUUCUGAAGAAUAAUUCACAAUUUUCCCCCAUUCUGUAAUUUGUCUCUCUACUCUGUGAGUUACUUCCUUUGUUAUGUAGAAUCUUUUUAAUUUGAUCUGAUCCCAUUUGUUGAUUCUCAGUAUUAAUUCUGUGCCACUGGAGUUCUGUUCAGAUAAUCAUCUAUUUCCUAGCUGAGUUCUUUUCGUUAUUAUAUAGAUAAAGUAUCUAUAUAUUUUUUUAAAUUUUAAGCUUCAGGGGGCUAGGUGAAGUGAAUAUAAAAUAUCUUUGAGUAGUACCUCUAGAAGAAUUUUAAUUUUUAAAAACAUGUGCUGUUUGAACAAGAUGAAUUUUCUCUCCGUAGGCGGAGCAGUUCUCUGCAGGAAAUGUAAAAAUGUUUGACAUAUAAUCCCUGAAACUCAAGAAUUCAUACUCUUUGCAGUUUUAAUGGCACGACUGUCUUACCUUAUUCUGUCAUGGUAUUUCUUUAGUUAAAAACUUUGGGUGAUUCUUCCUCGGAUUAUGCUUUCCUGUUUAAAUUUGUCCUUGCUUUCCACACCCUACCCGCAUUUGUUCCUUACUGUGUUAUCAACAAGUCAUGUUUGUUCUGGCUUCAGUGCUUCUGUACAUGUUAUCUGUAUAGUUCCAAGUUUACUAUGCUUUUCAGACCUGAGUCCUGUUAGGGUUUUCUGGCACAAUAGAGAAGCAAAAGGAAAGAAAAAAAUGGCCUUUAUUGAGGACGUGGAGAGGAGCGCAGGAAACAAACAUGGAGGGAGGUUUUAUGACCUCUGACUGGAAGCAGCUCUUGGGGCAGGCACUGAUGACGGCCAAGGAACUGACUGGAAUUUUCUCUGCAGGUACAGGAUAGGAAACAGGAAGUGGUAAUCAGGGCUGAAGGGGAAGGAGAAAGUGGUCAUCAUUUUGGGCUUCUGCCAUGUUAGACCACCGCCGUAAUGUCCAGUAAUUUAUACUAGAGCAACCUUUCAAGUUCUAUUUAAAAAUAAAUACUGAAUUUGAAUUUCACUUUUUUUUUCAAGUGGGCUGUCUUGACUACUCUAGAUUUCAUUUUUCCUGUGAUCAUCAGCAAAGCUUACUUACCUGUAUUAUUUAUUGUCGUUUCACAUUUGUUGGUAUGCCUUCCCACACAGCAUAGAUUUCCUGAAGGAAAUACUAUAUACCUAUUUGAUUUCCCUACAGUAUCUGGAAUAGUGGGGAGUUUAUGCUGAGUGCAUACUGAUUACCCUUUGACUGAAGCAAGCCCUGAUGUACUUACUCCUUGAAAGGCUGGUCACUUUGAGCUCAAGGCCAGCCUGCACUACAUAGAGAGAACCUGCCUCAAAAACAAAACAAAACAAAACAAAACAAACUUCAAAAUAAAGAGAGCUGUACUUGAAAGGGGGAUAGUGUUUGGGUGUCUGCAGAGCACUGGGUCCUUUGGGGAAGGAAGGACUAAGUUUUGGACUACAAAAGGAGGAGAAAUAUGUUACUGUGUUCUAUAGUAACCAGGAAAAAUAUGUCCAGUCAAAUUAAUGAUAACUUACCUGGUACCAGAUAACGUGAGCGUUUCUUGCUUACUUUGUUACCACUUGAGCUAUGGCACAAUGAAGACUUCAUAUCCUGUUUAUAGUUCAUUUUCUUUAGGACUACUAGUAGUAAAUAUAUUUAAAAAAUUAAUGUUUGAAUUGGAAGCAUUUAAAAAUUAGCCCUUAAAAUUAGAUAGCUGGUUCACUAAUAUAUCUUUCCUGAAUUUAUUCUACAUUUACUGUGCAAUCAAAUUAAGAUAAAAUAUAAAUCAAGGAAGAAUAAUUGACAAAAUUAUUUAAAUGAAAAAAAUCUGUUAUCCUGUUUUCCUUUGUUAAUAUCAGUCUUUUUCCUCUUCAUUGAAUUUUAGUCAUGAAUUCAGAGACCUGAGACUACAAAAAUGGUAUAAACAUUUCUACAGAUUUAGCAUUUAGUUUAUAAAAUAUGAAUUGCACCGGCUAUUGUAUUAUUAUGGUAAAAUAGAUACAUUACAAAAGUUACCAUUUUAACCAUGCUAUUAUAGCAUUUGGUGGCUUUCAGUGUAGUUAUGUUGUUUUAAAACCAUUACCACCAUCUCCCUCUCUCAUCUUCCUAAACUGAAACUGUAUCCAUUAAACAAUAAAUACACCUUUUCCCUCUCCUCUGAACUAAUUUAAAACUUAUCUAUUUCUGUAUUAUCUUGUCUCACUUGUUACUAUUGCAAAAGGCUAUUCUUUCAUUAUUUUUUAUAUUGUGGAACUGGCCCAGAUGUUGAGCAUUGUUAUGACUAAGGUUACACAAGUCAGUUUUACUAUUAGUGUCUCUUAGUUCUUUAAAAAGGAAGGUUUGUGCUGAUAUUAAUUGGAGAAUUUUUAUGUCUGUGUCUUGUACCCUCAGCAACUUUAAAGAUAACAUGUAAUUUAUUUAACUACUGUUAUUCUCCUAUUGUUACGAAAUUUUGUUUUACCUUUUUCCAUAAAAUAACAAAAAUACGAUUGCACAGUUUUCCAUGCUAUUAGUUGGUUUCCUGGGUGACAGAAUCUUGUUGCAUCAUAUUCUUUAUCUCUCAUCCAAACGCCAAUUAAAUGUGCAAUAGUACUGUAUUUUUGUUUGAGAGGUGACAAGAAAAUAUCUAUACCAGCCUCAUGAUCUUGAAUAAAAAUUGAACUGAAAUAUUGCUUUUUUAUUGUCUGAGAUUUUUGAGUACAUAAAUGAACUUUUUUCAAAAUUAUUAAAGAUGAAAGUAUGUGGUAGCUUGGUUAUUUUAAAAAUCUUAGUAAAAUUUUUUAUAGAUCAAUAUAUUUUGAAGUGUCCUGAUUGUGUAUUUGUCUUCUCCAACUUCUUUUUCUUUGUCAUGUUCGUUUCAACCUCUUUCGUCCCCUGACCUGUCCAUUUAUUUCACAUGGCUUUUCCUUUUUUUUUGAAACUGGGAGGCAAACUUAGGACCUUGCAUUUGCCAGGCAGGUUCUGUGCUGCUGAGUUACAUUAUCCUUUUGCUGAGUUCUAUUAUUCUUUCGCUUAGAUACCUCAUCUUUUUCAUUUCAGUUAUCUCUCAGUGGGAAGAAAAAAAUCCUUCUGGUUUGUAUUUCUUGACUUUGAAUUAAAUUCUGAAUCUAGAACUGUGACCUGGAAUUUUCUCAUAUGUUGUCUGUUGAUACCUUAAACAAAACACAUUUAUUGUUGGACUUAAUCAUUUUUUUUAAUGUACUGUAAGUCAGCUUCUUAUUUAUUGGUACUGCGAGUUGAACCUAGGCCAUGACACUCUACCACUGAUCUACGUGCUUAGAUCCUCCCACUCUUUGACAAUGGCACAUUUUUGUCAUUACCUAAGUUUCACAUGUUAUGCAUUAUCCUAACAUCUGCCCCUUUGAACAUGCACUUACUGGUCAGGGCAAAGCUGAUAAGCACAACUAGGAGAUAAAAGACUAAACAAAGAUUUAUUUCUUGCGGCAAAUAAAGAGAGUACUGGGUAUAAUUUUCAAAGUGUUACUUCUUUAACAAAGAGACAUAGAAAGUUUACUCUGUCCUCUGGAAGAGGGGCUGGCCAACCUUGACUGGAAUUAAGUAGAUUUCCUUCAGUUUUCUCUGAAAGGUCUUUGUCUGAAACAAUAACAACAACAAACAAUUUGAAGGAAUUUUAACAGUUACAGGGACAGUAACUUUUCUUCCUUCAAGCAUAGGUAAUUACCCCUAAAAGUACUUAUCUAGUGGCUAACAUCUUUUCAUAUUUUCUGCAGUGUAUCUAUUGUAGGACCCUGUGCUAGUCACCUUUCCACUGCUUGGGGAAAAAUACUUGAGAGAAACAAUUUUAAGGAGAGAAGCGUGAUUUUGGCUCAUAUUUUUAGAAAUUUCAAUUCUAGGUUGGCUGACUCCCCUUAUUUCUGGGCCAGUGGUGAGGCAGUACAUCAUGGGGGAAGAGAAUGGUGGAGAAAAGCUUCUUACCUCAUAGGGGCCACGAAACGUAAAGUGGAAGAAUCAGGAAUUAGGAAUUAGCACCAACAAGAUCAUGACUCCGUGGCCCACACCCUUGAGCUACAUUUCACCUCCUAGGUUUCCCUUGUCUCCACUAGUGUUAUCAAAUUGGGACUCUCAGUGGAGUUGUUGUUAAUACUGAUAUGUGACUUUGUUGGAUUAGAAGUCUCUAGCAGAUUAAAAGCAUGUUCCUAGGGUGUGUCUAGGUGGCUCAUGGAAGUGUAGUCUUGGGUACUAUAUAUGGUCUUUUCUUCAUUCCUUUCUGGCACUGUUCCUCUGUCCUGAUUGCUGGAUAGUAAUAGCUAAGUAGCUUUCUUCCAUUACAUCAUUCUGCCCUGAUGUUUCUUUCCUGGAGCCAGCUCACCAUGGACUGAAAUUUAGUUAGAUUAAAUAUUUCCUCAUUUAAAUUAUGGUUGUUGGAUAUUGUGUCUCAGAAACAGGAAAGUUGAUUAACAUAGAAAGUUGUUACCAGGAAUGGGGUUGUUGCUAUGACUGUACCUGAUCAUGUGGCUUAGAAGCACUUGGAUCUGGUUUGUAGGAAGGAUUUGGAAAGGUUUUGACAUGUAGGCUACAGAAGCUUUAGAAUGGAGUAAGCAGAGCCUGAUUGUGAAUUCUGGUUAGAGUUCAAAAGACCAGAGUGCUGAUAGGAAAGCAAAUAGUAAAAGUCAGGCUCAGGAAGUUUUCACUGAGAAUAACAACUCCAUUGGCAGUUGGACUAGAAGCUGUGUGUGUUAUACUCUGGCAGAAGAAUUGUCUGCAUUCUGCCCACGUCCUGAGAUGUUGACAGAUUGAGAAGGCAGUGGGCUAAUUAAUCUGGUGGAUAAAAUUUGAAGACAGUCCAAAAUUCAGGCUGUGGCAUGGUUGCUACAUUUAUAAUGGGAAUAGGAGGCAAAAGAAGGAGCAGAAGAAUGUGAAAAAUUAAGAUUCUGACACAUAAGGAACCAUGUGUAAAAUUGGGGUCAAAUGUGGGUGCUAAUAAGAUUAGCACCAUUUAAAAGAAAACAACUACUUUGUAUAGCAAUGAAAAGAAAGAUGACUUACCAAUAUUUCAAAAUCAUUAAGACCCUACUCAUCAUAAGCUCAAAGGUACAAAAGAAUUAAUCUUUCUUUUUGAGAAUAGUGUACCUGGGAUACUUUCUUGAGAAGAAAUUACUAGGAAAUUGGCUUCCCAGGACUCAUUUCACUGUGCUCAGGCAAUCAGGCACCAAGAGACUACUGCAGCUGUGAUAUACAGGGGCUGGCUGCUUAUGAUGUUAUGUGGAAUUACGAACUUGCUAUUGUCUUUAUUGAGAUUAAAUAUGAUUUAGAAGAUAUUUGAGUGUGAGGUUAACAAUGGGUUGAUUUUGACCAUUAAUCCUAUAUGUUGGUUUCCUUGGAUUAAGAAAUAUCUGGCAGGGGGGCUGAGGAUUUAGCUCAGAGACAUAAGUACCUGCCUUGCAAGCAGGUGGUUGUGAGUUUGAUCCCCGGUACCGAUAAAAAUGAAAAAGACAAAAAACAAACAAACAAACAAAAAAAGAAAUAUCUGGCAGGUUAGUAAAGCAUGUUCCUCUGUGUGUCUGGGUAGGUCAUGGAGGUGUAGUCUUGGGUAAUGUAUAUGGUUCCUCUUUGUUCUCUCACUGUUCACCUGCUCUGCUUCCUAUUCUAUUUUUUUUUUUUUUGUCUUUUUCCUUUUUAUUGGUACCAGGGAUCGAACUCACGACUGCCUGCUUGCAAGGCAGGUGCUUAUGCCGCUGAGCUAAAUCCUCAGCCCCACCUGCUCUGCUUCGUAACUGUAGUGAAGUAAAUGGCUUUGCCCCACCACACCUUUCACUAGGAUGUUUCUGCUGCCUUGGAGCCAGCUGACCAUGGACUGAAACUGGUUCACAUUAAACAUUUCCUCCUUUACAUUGUGGAUAUCAGGUAUUGUGCCUCAGAGAUCAGAAAGCUGACUAAUACACAUGGAUUAAUCUAUUAAUGAAGCUAGCACUUUCAUGAUCCAGUCACCUUCCAAAAUCCAACUUCUGCACACGAGCCAUUUGACAUUUUUUAUUCAAAUUUUAGAUUCAAAUAGAUUCAAAUUAUAGCUGGCCUGAUUACUUGAUACCUCGGCUACUGCAGUAUUCUCCAGUCAAAAGAAUCGUCUCUUAAGUACUUGGAGCACUUUCUUCAUAAUUCUUACAUGAAUGUUAUGAACAUUUAUUUUGGACUACAGACACUGACUCCUCCUGACCAUUGCCUUUUCAUCAUUAUAUGCCCAUAAAACCUUACAUCAUAGUUGGUACUCAAUAAAUGUUUUUGAGAGUAUGGUUUUCAUAGUAGAAUGUCUUUUUAUGCUAAUGUAGUUUACACAGCAUUUUGAGGUCCUUCCAUUAAUUAUGCAAUGUUGACUGCUUAUUAUGUGCCAAGGACUCUCAACACACUAAAGAUAUACUUAUGCACAAAAACAAAAAUUUACACGCUCUGGUGGUUUGUAAUCUAGGGUAUUUCAGAAACCAGUAAGACAUUACUCAUCAUAGACUCAUAGUGUGGUGGAAGAAUCCUAAAUUAGUAUAUACACAUCUGUACCUAUGUCUGUAUAUCUAUAUAUUUGUAUAUCUCAUGUUAGGUAUGAAAAUUGAAGUAGUGGAAUAAGAGCUUUCAAAGAUGAAAGACUGACAUAUGGGUAAGGUGUUCAGGAAGGCUUUCUGUCCAGGUGGCAUGUGAGUAAAAACUUGAAGCAUGUGAAGCAGAAAGCGAGUAUCUUGGGGUAGAAGGUGUCAGGUAAAGGGAGAAGCCAGUGCAGAGGACCCAGGUACAAGCGUGCCUGACAUGUUGGAAUAUCGGGAAGGAGCAGAGUGAACAGAAGAUGGGCAGUAGGAAGCAUAGAUGUGCGGUAAGGAGUAAGGUAUGGAGUGGGAGGGUACUGAUUGAAUAGGAUCUUGUGUGUCAUACUUGAGUUUUCCUUCUGCAUGUGAUGGUUAGUCGUUGGAGGAUUUGAGCAUACAAGUGACGUAUUCUGAUUGACAUUAACAGAAUUGCUAUGGCAGCUGUACUGAAAGGAAAGAGAGGGCAGGCAGAUCAGUUAGGAACUCUGACACAAAUCCAGGAUUGAGGAUGGUGGCUCAGGCUUCAGUGAUAGCAGUGGGAGUAGUGGGAGAACUUGGCUUGGGAUAUAUUUGGAGUAGAACUGACAGAAAUUUUUGAUAGAUUGAUAGUGAGUUGCAAGGGGAAAAGGCAGAUCCAAGGAUGACUUAAGAUUUUUGGCCUGAGCAGUGGAAAGAGUAGAAUUGCCACUAACUGACAGAGAGUGGUAGUGUGGAGAGAAGCAGGUGUGGCGGGGGCUUUGAGGAAUCCAGCUUCAGGUGUGCUACGGUUUUUGAUGGCUGCUGGGUAUGCAGGAAGAGCAAGGCUGCUUAAGUGCAUGUGAGUCUGCUAGAUUGAAGUUUAGGAAGAUCAACAUACAAAUAAGAUUUAAAACUAUGAGACCCGAUGGUCCUGUAGAAAAGAGUAAACCUUUGGGAAUCCCUUACUCCAUCUGUUUAGUCUGUGCCUCCAAAAGUUCUAGGGUUUCCUUGGUUGUUCAUAGCAUAAUUUUAUACAUACCUUUUCCCCAUUACGCUGGAAUAUUUAUGUUGCAUGAGCUUUCCUUUUGCAAUAUUUCCUUCCUAUGGUUAUGGUAAAUUUUUAUUCCUUUUACUUAGAGUAUGCUCUUUCUUUCUUUCUUUCUUUUUUUUUUUUUUGGUACUGGGGAUCGAACCCAAGACUGCACGCUCUCCAAGCAGGUACUUAUGCUGCUGACUAAAUCCUAGGCCCCACUUUCUUGCUUUCUAACCAACUUAAAUCUACUUUUGUCCAAGUAGUUUUAUCUUUUUAUCUCAGAGAUUUAUUUUUUUAACAUCUGUGGUUCUAUUUCAUUUUGUACAUUCUUCUUUCACUCCUCCUUAUCUCAUCUGUUUUAAAAUUCACCACAUUUUUAUAUGUGUCCUUUUCCCCCAGUACUAAGCUAAAUGAGGUUUAUGGUGCAUACUAAGACUUUUAAUGCUUUAUCUUCUACAGUGAUCAGAACUCUAGUUCUACUUCUCAGAGUCAGUCUGUAGAGAAACAGUCUUUCUAAACACUAGAAAGCUGGGCUUGAACCCACUACAGAGCCCAGGCUGGCCUCGAACUCACAGUGAUACUCCUGCCUCAGCCUCCCAAGUGCUGAGAUUACAGGCAUGAACCACAACACCUGGCCUGUACUCUCUUCUAAUGAUAUUUAUAUUACCCAGUACCAAUAUCAUGUUGAUUUGAUUGUAGAGGCUUUAAGUGUUUGUUAGACUUGUCCCUCUACUCUUACACAUACCUUUCGGGACUAUUCUUAGGCAUUUCCUCCUGUAUAAAUUUAAAAAUGCGGUAUUCUGCUAUGUUGCUGAAUUUAUUAGUUCUAAGAGUCUUCCAAUGUUUUUUUUUAAAUUUUCUAUGUAAAGGGUUGUAUAAUCUAUAAAUGAGGACAGUGUAUCCCUUUUAUUUCUUUUUUCUUCCCUGAUUUCUCUGGUUAAAGUUUUGAGUACUAUAUUGAGUAGAGGCAGGGAGAGGGGACAUCUUUGUUUUGUUCCUGACUUUAGAGGAAAUAUUUUCAUCUUUUUUUGGUUGUUGUUUAGUAUGAUAUUGGUAGUGGGUUUGUCAUGAAUGACUCUUAUCAAAUUGAGAUAAGAUCUUUUUUCAUCAGGUUUUUUUUUAAGUCAUGAAUGGGUGUUGAAUCUUAUUGAAGGCUUUUUAUGCAUCUAGUGAGGCAGUCAUGUGAUUUUUGUCCUUAUUCUGUUUAUGCGAUAUAUUACAUUUAUUGAUUGUCAUAUGUUGAACCAUUCUUGCAUCCUUGGAAUGAAGCUGGCUUGGUCAUAGUGUAUGAUUUGCUGCAUGCUGUCAGCACAUGUCUUGUUGAGGGUUUUUUCCUGUGUUCCUUAAGGAAAUUAGUCUGUUCUUUUCUUUUUAUUAAUUCCUGGCCUGGUUUUUGUGUUACAGUAAUACUAACUUCUAGGAGUGAGUUUGGCCAUGUUUCUUCCCUUUUAGUUUUGUGGAAGAGUUUGGGAAGUGCUGGUAAAAUUCUGUGGCCAGUGCAUCAGGUCUUGAGCUUUUUUUCAUUGCUAAGGUUGUUAUGACUACCUCUAUUUUAUUGCCUGUUACUGAUCUAUUUAGAAUUUUUUUGGUUCAGUUUUGGUAACUGAUAUAUGUCUAUAAAUUUAUGCAUUUCUUUUAUGUUCUUUAAUUUAUUGGAAAAUAAGUUUUUAAGAAUAGUUUCCUGUAAUCCAUUAGAUCUUAGUAGUUGUGUUGUCACCUUUUUCAUUUUAAAUAGUAUUCCUAGAGUUGUUUUUCUUUCUUUUGGUAAGUUUGGCCAGUUGGAGUUUAUCAAUUUUGUUUAUCCUUUCGAACAUCCAACUUUUUGAUUUAUUGGGUUUUUUUUGGGUAAUUUUUAGUCUCAAUUCUAUCAGUUUAUGCUUUGAUUUUCAUAAUUUCUUUCCUUCUACUAGUUUUGCAUUUGGAUUGUUCUUGUUUUUCUGCUACCUUGAACAGAGUGGCAGCACACAAAAACCAAUGCACAAAAAUCAAUAGCAUUCCAGUAUACUGAUGAUGAACCUAUUGAGAAAGAAACAAAUAAUCCCACUCACUGGGCGUGGUGGUGCAUGCCUGUAAUCUCAGCACUUGGGUAGUCUAAGGCAAGAGGAUCACUGAAGCCAGCUGGGGCUACAAAGUGAGUUCAAGGCCAUCCUGAACUACAUAGGGAAACCUUGUCUCAAAAAGAAAAGAAAAGAAAACAAAACAAUCUCACUUAUGGUAGCUUCAAAAAUUUAAAUACCUAGGUAUUAACCUAGCAAAGAAAGUAAAAGACCUCUGUAAUAAAAAUUACAGCACUCUGAAUAAAGACACUGAAGAGAAUGUUAGAAAAUGGUAAGACCUCCCUUCUUCCUGGAUAGCAGAAGCAGUGUUGUCAAAAUGGCCAUAUUACCAAGAAUAAUAUGUAGAUUUAAUGUAUUUGUAAGCAAAAGGCCAACAGCAUUCUUCACAGAACUUGAAAAAACAAUUUUAAACUUUAUAUGGAACCAGAAAAGGACCCAGAGGAACCAAAGCAACCUUGUCAACAAGAGCAAAGCAAGAGGCAUUAGAAUCGCAGAUUUAAAGUUAUGUUACAAAUGUCCUGGUAAAAACAGCAUGGUACAGACACCAAACAGACAUAUGUGUCAGUGGAACAAAACUGAAGAUAGAGAAAUAACCCCAGGCAUGUUAAGUGAUCUGAUCUUUGACAAAAGGGUAGAAAACAUACCCUGGAGAAAAGGGAUCUCUUUAAUAAAUAGUGCCUAGAAAACUGUUAUCCAAAUACAGAAUGAAUAUAGGCUUAUGUCUCUCAUCUAGUACCAAAGUACACUCAGAGUGGAUCAAAGAGCUCAGUAUUAAGUCAGAAACACUGAAUCUGCUGGAAGCUCAGAUAAAUAAAAUUCUUGAGUACACAAGCAUAGGCCAAGACUUUCUGAACAGAAUCCCAGGUGCACAAGAAAUAAUACCAAGAAUCAACAAAUGUGAUCAUACCAAAUUAAAAAAGCUUCCAUACAGCAAAGGGAACAACCAACAAAGUGAAGAGACAACAUAGAGAAAAAGUUUUGCCAGACUCUCAUCAGAGGGCCAAUAUCUAGAACAUAUAAAGAACUUAAAAAAAUAGACCCUUCCCAAUUGAAAUGGACAGAUGUUCCUGAAAAGAAGUAUAAAUGGUCAAUAAGUACAUGAACAAGUGUUGGCAUUUUUGGCCAUUAAAGAAAUGCAAAUCAAAAUAGCACCAAGAUUCCCUCUGAACCUCAAAAAAAGUUAUCAAGAAACCAAAUUACAACAAAUACUGGCAAGGUUGUAGAGAAGAAGAAAUGCUGCUACAUUGCUAGUGAGGAUGUAAACUAGUACAACUAUUGUAGAAAUUCGUACAGAGGUUCCUCAAAAAACUAAAUAACAGAGAUUCCAUGUAACCCAGGUAAACCUCUUCAUAUGCUUUCUCAUGUAUGUUGCAUCACAAUUCAUAAUACUGAAUCUUAGAAGUGGCUUAUAGUGGCUUAUUCAUUUACAUAGGUAAAUGAAUGGGUAUGAAGAAGACUGAAUUCAGGUCAUUUGUAGGAAAAUCAAUUCAUCCUAAGACCAUAAUGCUAAGUGAAGUAAGCCAGACACAAGAGGUUAAAUAGCACAUAGUUUCUCUUAUAUGAGAAAUACAAAUGUAAAGUACAAGGUGGUAGAAAUCAUGGAGAUAAAAUUUGUGGAGAUAAAAAGGGGUUCUAGGGAUGGGAGAAGAUGAGGGCCAGGGAGGGGAAGGAAAAGCAAAAAUAAUUAAAUGAGAUACACAUAUGUACCAAUUUCCCAAGGUAAAUGUAAAUAUUAUGUGUGAUAAACAUAUUAAUAAAAAGAAACCAGAGAAAACAUUAAAAAUGAACUUUAGAAUUAUUUUGAUAAUUAAACACAAUGAUACACAUUGGUUUUGGGAGGAUUUGUAAUUUAUGUCUUUCCAAUAUUCAGUUUUUAGUUUGUAUCUUAGAUUUUGUAGUUUUUUCAUGCAGGCUUUGUGUUUCUCUUAAGUUUAUUAUGAUGCUUGUUACAAUUUUUUGUUAUCUUGUAUGAGGAACAAUUUUUGCCUUUUCCUCUUUGAUAUACCUAUUGCAAAUAUUAAAAAAAUUCUUGAUUUUAUAAAUAGAUUUAGUGGAAUCAUCUUCCAAAAUUCUUUUAUUGAAUCAGAAUUUUUUAUUGGCACUUUUUCUAUUUUACUGGCACAUAAUCAUAUCACUAGCAACUUCUUUUUAAAUAUUUAUAAGAAUUACUUCAUUUUCUUAGUCAAAUUGUUAUAUGUGUAAAACAAUUCCACAAAAAGUUAUUGAAGACCUUUGCAUUUCUUGUGUGUCAAGCACUGUAAUGCAAAAGAUUCAAAAACAAAUCAACAAAAUGUAAUGUGGCUGCUUUGUGGUGCUUACCUCAGUGACUAGUGGCAAAAGCAGGCUUCUUAUUCUGAUUCUUUAUUGAAAUGGUUUAGUGCAUCAUUGUUCAGUAAGAUAUUUGUGGUAUGCAUUGAUGAACAGACUUUAUCAUGCUUGUAUCAUUUCCCUGUGGGCCUGUGUUUCUUUAAGUUUUUACUAGAAAUAGUGGCUAAGUUUUAUUUAUUUAUUUAUUUUUAAAAUUUUAUUUAAGGAGGAAAAAAAAGCAGAGAAAGGGUACAAGUUAUACAGAUUUACAGAAAAAAAUAAACAAUAGGAAACCACUAGUUAAUGGAUUACAUAUUGUCAUCUUAGAAAUAAUUGUUCAAGUCACAAAAUUAAAGCUUGUAAACUGGACAUUCCAACAGUGAGACUGCAAACAGUUCUGUUCAAUGAUCCAAUAAAACUCAGUGAUAUCAUUUUCUAUCUUAUACACUUAAAUAUACAUGCAGUUAUAUCGUUUAGAGCACUUUCUUUUCCUCUCUUUUGUACAAUGACAAUUACACAUUUUGGGUUUUGUUGCUCCCACAGUUCUUAUUACUUUUUUGGAAGGGAGUAAAACCAAAUGUGACCUAACAGAACAGAGUCAAUCAAAUCAAAAGGGUGGACAUAAUAGAUAAUGUAAAAGCAUAAUACAAGGUGAUCAAUAAUGGUUACCAUAAUGCCUCCCGCUAUCUCUAAUAGAAUUGCUUAUAUCAUCAAUUAUAAUAAAAUUGAACAAAACAGUAAAGAACAAAACCAACAAAACCAAAAUGUUGGAGACAUUAUAGGUCUUUAAAAGUAGAUAAAAGUCAACGAGAAUGGGCGUCAUAAUGAAUCUCACUAUCUUCACAGCUGUUGCCUAAACUUUCGAACCUGGUACUGUCAAGCAAAACAGAAUAGGGGAACAUCAGUCAAAAGGAAGAUGGUGAGAGUAAUACAGGGCUUUAAAUCAAGAUAAUGGAAAGUCAAAGUGGGUUACUAUAAUAUAUCCUGCUAUUUUUUAUUUAUUUUUCCCUUAAUUAAAAGGAUAAAAAUAAAAAAGUAAAUAAUGAAGUGGAGAUUGAGAUAAGAGGGAAUAACAGCAAAACAGCACAGAUCAAAACAUAACCAUUUAAGCAGAAUAGUGUUUCACCACAAGAUAAUCCUGACAUAAAAGUAGUUACCAUAUUGUCUCUUUCCUUGAAAUCUUUGAGUAUAACUUCAUAUACUGUAGCAUCAAAUAUAUCAAAACAAUGUAAAACCAUUUAAGAGAAUGACAGCAUUAUAGGGUAUUUAGAAUCAACUAACAGAAAAUUAACAAUGGUUUCUGUAUAAUCUCCUUGUCUUUAAAAGUUUUUGCUUAUACUAUCAUACAUAAUAAAAUCCAAUAAGAUACAACCUGUUUAGACCAAUGGAGACAGAAGAACAAAAGCUUGAUGAGACUUCAAAACAAGAUAAUACUAACUCAGUAUUACCUCUUAAGACGUCAUUUUCCCCAAAAUAGCUGUUCUAUCAUCCAAUCUUCUCUGCCUCUUUUCUGUUGAGCUCUUUUUCUGUCAUUAGUUGUCAGUUUGUCUUCUUCAUUUUGUUUUCUACUCCAUUCAUUGUGGCCUCUCUGCCACUAUUUCUGGAUUCUUUGUAUUUUUCUUAGAAUAUCCUGCAGUAUUCUGUGUAGAGUUGAAUUGGUGGUUGCAAAUUCCCCUAAUUCCUCUUUAUCCUGGAAGCAGCUUGUUUUUCCAUCAAUUUCCAGGGAUAGUUGUGCAGGAUAUAUCAAUCUUGGCUGGAGAUUAUUAUCUUUCAAAGCUUGAAUUAUUUCCCCCCAUGCUCUUCAUGAUUUGAUGGUUUGUGGUGAGAAGUCUGCUGUAAUUCUGAUGGGUGUUCCCUUGUAAGUGAUCUGUUUCUUGUCUCUGACAGCUUUUAAUAUUCUGUUCUUGUAUUGAAUUUCUGGAAUUUUUAUUAUUAUAUGCCUGGGUGUUGCUCUGUUUGGGUUGUAGGUGGCUGGGGUCCUGUAUGCCUCAUACAUCUGAGUAUCUUUACCUUUUGCUAAAUUAGGAAAAUUCUCCUGGAUUAUUUCUGUGAGUAGCUUUUGUAGCUCAUUUGUUUGCGUCCCUACUUCUUUUAUGUUCUUAAUUCUUAAGUUAUGGAUCCUUUUAUCAUCUUCUAGUCUUUGUAUUAUUGCUGUUUGUUUCUUUGUUACUUUUAAGAAGUUUUUCAUUUCAUGCUUCUAUAUUACUAAUCUGCCCUCCAGUUUAGAUAGUCUGUCCUUAGUUUCUUUCAAACUGUUAUGCCAGUUUUUGAUAGAGUUUUUAGUUUCCUGGUAGUCUCUUUGAACCUGCUUCACGUAUUCUAUGCUUUCUCUAUUUUCUCCAUCAAACAAUUCUCCCCUCUUUUCUGUUCUUCCAUUCUACCAUCUGUUUUUUCUUGGGUGGUGCUUAGCAUUUCUCUAACUAUUCUGCUUAUUUCUAGCUUCAGGUCAUUAAUAACUUCAUUCCUGAACUGAUCUAUGAGGCUCUUUAGAUGGCGCUUUAUGUCUAUUGGUACAGUGUCCGCUGUUGCCUAUUUCUCAGGAUUGGGGGCCAAGGAGCCUUUCUUGUUGCUGCCUCUUCCCAUAUUCUUUGUUCCUUAUAUAUGCAAGCUUAUAUAGGAGGCCCAGCUUCCCUCCCUGUCAGCCACAGCCUGAUCGAAUUGCACCGGCUAGGUGUUCCCGCCCACCGCAGCACACCAGGAAAUUGUAGACCAGGCAGCCUACGCGGUGCCCGCCCCUCCAGGCCACCCUGAGGCUCUGGGAUCUGGGUUGUGCCAGCCUACUGGGUCUCCGCCAGCAGCGUCACGUAGGCUAGGCAUUUCUCACCAAUCCCGCUUGAGAGGGGGAUACGUGGCUGAAGUCGCUGCAGCGCCCCGCUCCUGCAAGUCUGCUCAGUCCCAGAAUGUCUUCCGCUGGAGUCUCAUUAAACUGUGGGAGAGCGUCAGUUUCUCUCACUCACCUCCCGCAAGUCAGUGCACGGCUCCCCGCCCGUCCUGUUUUCAACUCCGUUCGCCGAUUCCCGUACUCAGAGCUUCCACGCGUCUCUCUCCUUGCUGAGCUGAUGUAGACGCAGCCGCCGCGCGGUGGGAAACCCAAAUCGCGGCUUCCAAUGGUGCGGGCUCCAGCCUCCACACUGAGGCCCCUCUGUUCCUGUUCUAGCACCAGGAGUGCGUUCCAAAUUGGUUUCUCUCAGCCCAGUUCGUUCCUGGGUCAGCAGAGCAUAUCUCCACCUGCUUAUGACUCCUUAUUCUGCACCAUUCCUGAAUUCUAAGCCGAGUCUUUCAGAGAGCCUCCGUAGCUGCUGCUAUCUGUCCGCCAUGUUCUCCCGGAAACUAAGUUUUAUUUAACAUGUUAAAAAAAGAAUAGCUAUCAUCCAAAUAGCCCUUUUCAGCCACUGUUAAUAUGAUCAUCUGAGUUCAUCUGUUGCUUUUUAUAAAUCUUACUUUUAAUUGUUCUCUAAUCAACUGUUACUCAUUUAAUAUGAACGUAAGUCAUCUUACACAAUCAAUACUUAGCAUAUUACAGAUAGAUCAUCCUCAAUAAAAUAUCUGCAAUGAAAAAUGCUGCAAUGAAAAAAACUAACAUUUUGGGGCUGGGGAUUUAGCUCAGCAGCAUAAGCGCCUGCCUUGCAACCAGGCAGUCGUGAGUUCGAUCCCCGGUACCGAUGAAAAGGAAAAAGACAAAACAAUCAAACAACAACAACAACAAAAGAACCCUAACAUUUCAGACUUUGAAAUUUUGCAUCAGAGAUGCUCAACUAGUAAAGUCUUUAAAGUGUUCCAGAAUUAAAAAAAACCAAACCAAAACACCCCAAAAAUCUGAAAUACCUCUGUUCCAAAACAUUUCAGAUAGGGAAUAGUCAACCUGUAGUUACUAGUUUAAUUAAUAAAUAUAUUGUUUUCCAAAAUGAACAGCAUAGUACAGCAAUCCUAUCUCACCUGGUUUUCUUGCUGUGUAUAUGACUGUGAAUAUGUGGUCUGAGCUUUUCCCCCUUCCUUGGUGUCUGGUGGGAGAGUGAGUAUGGCAGAAGUAACACUAUGUCAUUUCCAAGCCUAAAUCAUAAAAGGUGAUGUACGUUCUGCUUUUGGUGCUUUCCUUGUGGAAUCCCAGCACCCUGGUAUGAAGAGGGCCAAGCAGCCUGUGGAGAGGCUGUGCAAGAGAGUCACAGCUCAGAGACCUGCUGCGGGCCGCUGAGGGCCACGUGAUCUUCAGAAUGUCAAUGAGUGAACUUUCAGGUGAUGGCUCCCCCCAGCUUCUCAGUCACCUUUAGCUUUCAGCUCUUCCCACCAGGUGCCAGGUGCUGUAGAACAGAGACAAGCCAUCCUGUUGGACUCUUUAUUUGAAUGCUCAACUCACAGAAUCUGUAAGCAUAGUGAAAGCAACUGCUUUAUAAUACUACAUUUGAAAUGAAAAUAAGAAACAGUAAUGAGGAAAACUGGAAGUGAAGUAUUUUUAUGCUUAUACAGUACACAUUACUUGAAUUAUGUGGUCAAUUGUAACAAACUACCAACUUCAUGUAACUGAAAGAAUAUCUGUAGAGACAUAAAAUGAAUUAAGACGUGUUAUGUAUGGCUACCAACUCCUCACGAUGAAUGUAAUCAUUUUGUACUGCAAACAUGUACUAAUAAAAAUUUGAAAUAAAUUAAAAUAGCCUAUAAAGAGUAUCUGAUUGUAGAGAAACCCUAAAAUAAUGUAUUUUGAGAAGUUCAAGUCAUUUCUCCAAACAAGAAAUUCCUUUUCUUUGCAAUGAAUAUUAAUCAUUUGGUCAUGGUGUAGAUAAAAUUUUAAAAAUUGCUACUUCUAAAAUGUUUUACUAUGUUAAUGUAAAACAAAUAAUAGUUAAUAAAUGAUUUUAAGGAUAAUUUGAGAUUUUUAGUGUACAGACAUUUUAGUUUUUAAUAAAAACAUACAUAAUAUUAAACAAAAUGGGUUAAAUUAACAGGCAAACAGGAACUCUUCUCCCCUUUUUUCAUAUUUAAUUGGCACUGGAAAUUGGUCAUUACUUUAUAGACAUGUAGGAUCCUAGCUAACUAUUUGGUAUAUCAAAGAUUGUUAUUUUCAAAGGGGAAAAGUAAUUGGGAUAGAAGAAAGGAAAGAAGGAAGGGAAAAGGAAAGAUAUAAAUUUGUAUAUAUACAUAAGAUAGCUAAGAUGACUAUACUACUAAUCCUGUUCUUGGAAAAGAACAGUUAAUACUCAUGUGAUCAGAUCAAUUUUGCAUGUCUAUCUGAUAAUCUAAGCAAUUUUUUGAAGAUAACAAUAUGCAAUAUAACAGCCAUUGUUAAAUUCCUGUCAUCUUGAAAGCCUAUAUUGUUAUUGUUUUGGGUUUGUUGUUGUUUGCUGCUUUUGCCUUUUGUUUUUCUUUUCUGUUUUUCUCUUUUAAACAACAAAAAAUUGUCAUUUUUAAAACCUGAUUCUGCUCUUGCCUCCAGAAAUUCUCUGCUGCAUGAAGAACUCAUAUCAUACAGGUAAUAUGAACUGGGAAAUAUAGACAUAAAAAACUUCUCUAAUUACUAUACAUUUGGGGAAUGGUUCUUGUGAUCAACCUUCUUUUGAAGUAAGUAUAAGAUAUCAAAUCGAAGUUCUCAAUUAAACUUCUUCACAGGCCAAUAAAAUUUUCUAUUAAUAAAAAUUGAGUAUGCCUUUAUGCUUAUAAAUUAUUUCUUUCUAGUUUUAAAAUUAAGAUAGCCAUCUUGUUAGGCAUGGUAGCACAGUCCUGUAAUCCCGCCACUCUGGGAGACUGCAUCUUUAUUUCUUUAGUAGAUUGGGUUUAGUAGGAAGGGCUACACAGUAUUUCUGGCCCAUCCUGAUCUAGUAUUUUGUCAAUUCCUGCAUUAGGAGUUUAAAUCCAUUUCCCUUCCCUUGAAUUUGCAUUUAUGUUGAGUUUCUCAGUGAGUUGAAUGCUGAAGAAGUUACACUGCAGAUCUCCCAAGGUUUGUAGGAAGUUGUGAGGAAGCUCAGACCUUAUGAAGAAGACAGUGCAGGCCAGUUAAGGCCUCAAUUAAAAACCAGAAUCAGCCAGCAAACAUGUGGCAGUCUUCAGCCUUAGAGUCCCCAGUUGAUACUGGGGGAAACAGUGCUGAGGUAUCUUCACCAAGCUCUUUCCAAAUUGCAGAUUCUUAACCCAAAGAGUUAUUAUCAAACCAUUAAAAUUUUGGAGAGUUUGUUAUACAGUCAUGGAAACUAAGAUAACUGGAAGUGGGACACUGUGUAACAGAGAUCUGAAAACAUAGCACUGACUGAUGGGUAUUGGUUCGACAGGACUGGAAAUUGGGCAAGAAGCGAGAGGAUCUUGAUGAGCCUGGGGGAGGCUGCUAGCCCUUGAGGCUGUCAAAGAGGAUUUAAUGCAAACGGGAAAUGUCAUUGGGAGCUAGAGAAGAGCUGGCACUUCCUCCGUUAAAACAGAAGAUUUAGUGACAUUUCCACUAAAGUGAUGUGGAAAGUAGAAAUGCUUAUAAUGAAUUGCAUGAUAAGAAUAUUUCUGGGUAGAAAAAUGAAGGUAUAGUCUGGCUUCUUGCAGCUCAUGCUGAAAUAAGCUAGGGAGAUACAAGCUAAAGAAAGAAUUGUUAAAUAUAAAGGAGCCAGAACUUGUUGAGUUUGAAAAUAAAACUUUCUCUUUCCCGUUCCCCCACAUGGUAGAUAAUUCUAAAAUUAAGAAAUGGGUUAUGGAAGAAGAUCAAAUCUAAGGCAUUGUCAGGAAAACAUUAUUUACUAGGAAGCCAGCAAAGUGAUUGUAAAUCUCUUAAGUCCUCAGAAAAUUUAGUGUCUUGCUUUACCAAGACAAUAGUCCCUUUGAAUAUUUAAGGCGGUGCCAUACCUUGUACCGUAGAUCUUUUCCACUAAAUGGAAGAUCCUCUAGGAAUUUAUGUCAUUGCUCCUCAGCGCUCCUACAGGCUGCUCAAGGACUUAGUGUGAAAAAAUUUGUAGGUAUGGCUUUUGUCUAAUAAAAUGAAUUAUACAUUGAUUCACAAUGAAUCUACAAUGUUUUGUUUUAAAUGAACUUUUUUUUUUACAGCAGUUUCAAGUUCACAACAAAAUUGGGCUAAAAGUACAAUUUCUGUCUAUUGUCCUUGUACUUGUCCCUCAGAAGUCUCCUACACUAUCAAUAUAUCCCUCACAGGAAAGUUUUUUUUACAAUCAGUGAACAUACUAUACAUUAACACAUCAUUAUCAGUCUGUGUCCACAGUUUAAAUUUUAGCUCACUCUUGGUAUUAUUUAAAAUAUAAAUGUCACUUCCGGGAGAACAUGGUGGACAGAUAACAGCAGCCAUGGAGGCUCUCUGAGAUUGCCAAUUUAGAAUCCAGGAAUGAUGCGGUGUGAGGAGUCCUAAACAUGGGGAGAUAUACCCUGCCAACCCGAGAACAAAGUAAGCUGAGAGAAACCAACUGGAAAUGCAAUCCUGGUCUAUAACAGGAACAGAUAAAAUCUCAGUGCUGAAGUUGGAACUUGCACUUCUGGAAGCUGUGAUUUGAAUUUCCUGCUGCUGCAGCUGCGUCUGAAUCGGCACAGCAGGGAGAGAGACGUGCGAAAACUCUGAGAGCAGGAAUCGGCAAACCGAACAGAGUUGAAGGAACUGGUGGGGAGUCCUACAUUGACCUGUGGUGAGUGAGAGGAACGGGGACCCUUCCAUAGACUAGGAGGCUCCAACAAAGGACAUUCUGGGACCCGGUAGACUCGCUGGAACAGUAUGCUGCAGUGACUUUAGUCACAUAUUCCCCUCAAGCAGGAUUGGUGGGGAGUGCUUGGCCUGGGUGACGCCGCGGACUAAGAUUCAGUAGGCUAGCCCAAAUCAGGUCCCUGCGCCAGGCAGUGCACCCUAGCAGUGAAGCCUUCAGUAGGUUGACCUGGAGGGGCAGGCCCAGCAGAGGCUACCCAGGUCUUUGUCUCCCUAGUACACUGCAGUGGGUGGGAACACCUAGCCGGCUGAUUCAAACAAACUGUAACAGACAAAGAGAAAAAAAACUGGGCCUCCUGUAUAUGCUUGUGUGGAAGGAACAAAAAGUAUGGGAAGAGGGAGCAAUAAGAAAGGGUCCUCAGUCCCCAAUCCUGACAACACUGAUCCAGGAAAGGUAAAUGCAAAGGAGAAUGAGGACAAAAAACAUGCAAUAUCAGACACGGCACCAAUAGACAUAAAGCGAUAUCUCUGGAGCCUCAUAGACAAGUUCAAAAGUGAAGUAUUUAACGAAAUAAAGCAAGAUAUAAGUAGAAUAGUGAGAGAAAUGCUAAGCACCACCCAAGAAAAAACAGAUGGUGGAAUGGAAGAACAGAAAAAAAGGGGAGAAUUGUUUGAUGGAGAAAAUAGAGAAAACAUAGAAUAGGUGAAGCAAGUUCAAAGAGAUUACCAGGAAACUAAAAACUCUAUUGAAAGCUGGCAUAACAGCUUGAAAGAAACCAAGGAUAGAUUAUCUGAACUGGAGGACAGAUUUGUAAGGUAGAAGCAUGAAAUGAAAAACUUCUUAAAAAUAGCAAGGAAACAAACAGCAAUAAUACAAAGGCUAGAAGAUGAUAAGAGGAUCUAUAACGUAAGAACAUAAAAGAAGAAGUAGGCACACAAACAAAUGAACUACAAAAGGUAUUUACAGAAAUAAUCCAGGAGAAUUUCCCUAAUUUAGCAAAAGGUAAAGAUACUCAGAUGUAUGAGGCAUAUAGGACCCCAGCCACCUACAACCCAAACAGAGCUACACUCAGGCAUAUAAUAAUCAAAAUUCCAGAAACCCAAUAUAAGAACAGAAUAUUAAAAGCCAUCAGAGACAAGAAACAGAUCACUUACAAGGGAACACCCAUCAGAAUUACAGCAGACUUCUCACCACAAACUAUCAAAUCAUGAAGAGCAUGGCGCAAAAUAAUUCAAGCUUUGAAAGAUAAUAACCUCCAGCCAAGAUUGAUAUAUCCUGCACAACUGUCCGUAGGAAUUAAUGGAGAAACAAAAUGCUUCCAGGAUAAAGAGGAACUAGGGGAAUUUGCAACCACCAAUUCAACUCUACAGAGAAUACUGCAGGACAUUCUAAAAAAGAAAAAUACCAAGAUUCCAGAAACAGUUGCAGAGAAGCCACAAUGAAUGGAGCAGAAAGCAAAAUGAAGAAGACAAACUGACAACUAAUGACAGAAAAAGAGCUCAACAGAAAAGAGGCAGAGAAGAUUGGAUGAUAGGAACAGCUAUUUUGGAGAAAAUGACGUCUUAAUAGGUAAUACUGAUUUAGUAUCAUCUUGUUUUGAAGUCUCAUCAAGCUUUUCUUCUUCUGUCUCCAUUGGUCUAAACAGGUUGUAUCUUAUUGGAUUUUAUUAUAUGUGAUAAUAUAAACAAAAACUUUUACAGACAAGGAGAUUAUACAGAAACCAUUGUUCAUUUUCUGUUAGUUGAUUCUAAAUACCCUGUAAUACUGUCAUUCUCUUGAACGGUUUUACAUUGUCUUGAUAUGUUUGAUGCUACAGUAUAAGAAGUUAUACUCAAAGAUUUCAAGGAAAGAGACACUAUGGUAACUACUUUUAUGUUGGGAUAUCUUGUGGUGAAACACUAUCUUGCUUAAAUGGUUAUGUUUUGACCUGCGCUGUUUGGUUGUUAUGCCCUUUUUUUUAUCUCAAUCUCCUUUUUUAUUAUUUAUGUUUUCAUUUUUAUCCUUUUACUUAAGGGAAAAAGAAAAAAUAGCAGGAUAUAUUAUAGUAACCCAUUUUGAUUUCCUAUUAACUUGAUUUGAAACCCUGUAUUGCUCUCACCAUCUUAUUUUGACUGAUUUUCCUCUAUUCUGUUUUGCUUGAUAGUACCAAGUUCAAAAGUGUAGGCAACAACUGUGAAGACAAUAAGAUUCAUUAUGAUGCCCAUUCUGGUUGAUUAUUAUCUUCUUAUGAAGUCCUCUAAUGUCUCCAAUGUUUUGGUUUUAUUGGCUUUGUUUUUUACUGUUUUGUUCAAUUUUAUUAUAACUGAUGAUAUAGGCAAUUCUUUUUGAGAUAGCGGGAGGCAUUAUGGUAACCAUUGUUGAUCACCUUGUAUUAUGUUUUUACAUUAUUAUGUCUACCCUUUUGAUUUGACUGACUCUGUUCUGUUAUAUCACAUUUGGUUUUACUCUCUUCAAAAAAAAGUAAUAAGAACUUUGGGAGUAAUAAAACCCAAAAUGCGUAAUUGUCAUUGUACAAAAGAGAGGAAAAGAAAGUGCUCUAAAGGACAUAACUGCAUUUAUAUUUAAGUGUAUAAGAUAGAUAACCAUAUUACUGAGUUUUGUUGGAUCAUUGAACAGAACUGUUUGCAUUCUCACUGUUUGAAUGUCCACUUUAUAUGUCUUAAUUUUGUAACUUGAACAACUAUUUCUAUGAUGACAAUAUGUAAUCUAUUAACUAGUGAUUUCCUACUGUUUAUUUUUUCUGAAAUUCUGUAUAACUUGUACCCUUUUUCUGUUUUUUUUCUUUUUCCCCUUAAAUAAAAUUAAAAAAAUAUAUAAUAUGUUGUAUAAUAACACAAAUCCACCAUUAUGGUAUCAUGCAGAGUAGUUUCUAGGAAUCCUGUGCGAUCUCCCUGUUCAUCUUUCUCUUUCCUAAAUCCUUGGCAACCAGAAAUCUUUUUAUUGUCUCCAUAGUUUUACAGUUUUCAAAAUAAUUGAACUCAUACAAUGUAUAGUAUUUUCACAUUGGCUUUCACUGUGUAAAAUGUGUUUAAUUUCUUCCUUGUUUUUUUCAUGGCUUGAUAGCUGAUUUUUAGGGUCAAAUAAUAAUCUAUUGCCUGAAUAUGCAAAAGGUUACAUAUUACCAUACCCCUAAUGGUGUUUUGGUUAUUUUCAAAUUUUGGCUAUUAUGAAUAAAGCUGUUGCAAAUAUCUA